rnacentral:rRNA from 1 species
UACAGAGGCCUCGAGCGUUAGGCGGAAUCACUGGGCUUAAAGCGUGUGUAGGCGGACUUCUAAGUACCUUGUGAAAUCCCACGGCUCACCCGUGGAACUGCUCGGUAUACUGGUUGUCUUGAGCCUUCUAGGGGCGAGUGGAACAAAUGGUGGAGCGGUGAAAUGCGUAGAUAUCAGGAAGAACACCCGUGGCGAAGGCGGCUCUCUGGGACGGUACUGACGCUGAGACGCGAAAGCGUGGGGAGCGAACAGG